rnacentral:lncRNA from 1 species
UAUGGUACUUUUCCAUAAGGUCCUUGUUCAUCUCAAAAGGCCAGUAGUCCUCAUAGUACCUCUGCAAUUCUGGGGACAUGGUUGCAACCAUGAUGCAUGCCACUUUGGUAGCAUCAUCAUAGUGUUUCUUGUAGGCAGCAUACUCUUCGGGAGUGGCUUUUGACUCAUCAAGUUCUUUGAGCUCCUUUUCAAGGACAUACUCUUUGUCCUCGAAUCUAAGCGCCAUCUUGAUGUUACGCAUCCAAUCGUUAUAGUUGGAGCCAUCCAUAACGACUUUGGAGCAGAUGUUUAGUAGAGAGAAGUUGUGGCUGGAGGAUGAUGAAGCAGAAGUGUUUCCAGGAGUAGACAUCUGAAAAGAAAGAUAGUUUUAGUUAGAUUCCAAGACACCUCAAUAUAAUAACCCAAAGAUAUCAUAUCAAGGUUAGGACCCAACUAUGACGAUUUACAACUUAGAAAUGGGAUGCCGAGAUCCAAGUUCAAAUCUCAUAAAGGUAGGUGAAUGACGAUUCACCAAUUCCACCAUUAGACAAAAUAAACGAAGUGAAAUUCCUAAUUCUUUUGAGAUACAUUAAAACUAUUUAAUGGCAUGUUUUAAUCUCGGAUUAUGCUCUACUAUUUGUGACUGGGAUACCGAGGAUCACAAACUAGAUGUGAAUAACCAUGCAAAUGUGCUUGGUAACCUUAUUGUCUUUAUCAUUAACUAUUGAUGUGCCGGUAAACCACACACGCUCCAUCAAAAUGAUAAUUAUAAGAUACCCAUUACUACUCUUUAUUAGUGCCUUUUAGUGUGCCGGUUAACCACACACGCUCCACUAACGACCAAUAAAGCAUAAUGUGCAAUUUCAUGGAUUAGCAUACUUUUCACAUUUUUCCUAAAGUAACUAGAGUUGGGAUUUUGAAAAAUAGUGUUCUAGUACUUUCUUUAAUAGCAUUAUACUUUUAAUGGGAAGUAGUUGUCCUAUCAAAUCCGUUCUGCUAACGACCCUCCACUAAUCAAGGAAGCGGUGGGUGAGAGUGGACACCCAUUCAACUACCAUUUUAUAGGCAGUUUCCUUAUACCCCCNACAUCAUUACUAAGCAAUAGUUGAUAAACUCCGAUCUUGGUCACUGGUGAAGACUUUCUGUUCCCCAUGAUCAAGUUUAUCCUCCCAUGCUCUAUCUCCUCACUUUCCUUUAGCCCCUGCAAAUCAGAACAGAUAUGAAAACCACAUCCUGUAUCAAGGACCCAUGAACGAGAAGAUAAUGAGUUAUUAGCAGAAAUAGUGUAAAUACCUGCCGAGGAUGGCUUCACUUUGCCAUCCUUGAUAUCUUGCAGAUAUUGUGGGCAAGAUCUCUUCCAAUGCCCCUUUUGAUUGCAGUAAAAGCAAAUGGCCUCUUUUGGAUCAGAAACAUGGGGAGUGGAACCAUUGGGCUUAGCCUUCGGGCCAUUACUAGAUGACACAGCUUGAGCCUUGCUCUUCCAGUUUUGCUUGGGAGGACCUUUCCUCUUCUUCCCCUUUCCCUGUCCAAUGGCCAAGACAGGGGCACUUGCAGGUGUGGAGGGUAUACUUUUACCCUUCAUCCCUACCUCAGCUGUCUGCAACAAGUUGGGCAAUUGGGCCAAAGUCUGCUCAGUGUUGUUCAAAUGGUAAGUUAAGAUAAACUGACCAUAACAAUCAGGCAACGAGUUCAAGACCAUGUCAAUGGCCAAUUCCUCAUCGAAGUGAAUGUUGAGCUUGACCAAACGCUCUAUGUAGCGUUGCAUUCUUUGCACAUGAGAUACAACCGAUUCCCCCUCUUUCAUCUUGCAAGCCAUGAGUGACUUGACUACCUCAAACUUUUCUUGACGAGCUCGCUUAUGGUACUUUUCCAUAAGGUCCUUGUUCAUCUCAAAAGGCCAGUAGUCCUCAUAGUACCUCUGCAAUUCUGGGGACAUGGUUGCAACCAUGAUGCAUGCCACUUUGGUAGCAUCAUCAUAGUGUUUCUUGUAGGCAGCAUACUCUUCGGGAGUGGCUUUUGACUCAUCAAGUUCUUUGAGCUCCUUUUCAAGAACAUACUCUUUGUCCUCGAAUCUAAGCGCCAUCUUGAUGUUACGCAUCCAAUCGUUAUAGUUGGAGCCAUCCAUAACGACUUUGGAGCAGAUGUUUAGUAGAGAGAAGUUGUGGCUGGAGGAUGAUGAAGCAGAAAUGUUUCCAGGGGUAGACAUCUGAAAAGAAAGAUAGUUUUAGUUGGAUUCCAAGACACCUCAAUAUAGUAACCCAAAGAUAUCAUAUCAAGGUUAGGACCCAACUAUGACGAUUUACAACUUAGAAAUGGGAUGUCGAGAUCCAAGUUCAAAUCUCAUAAAGGUAGGUGAAUGAUGAUUCACCAAUUCCACCAUUAGACAAAAUAAACGAAGUGAAAUUCCUAAUUCUUUUGAGAUACAUUAAAACUAUUUAAUGGCAUGUUUUAAUCUCGGAUUAUGCUCUACUAUUUGUGACUGGGAUACCGAGGAUCACAAACUAGAUGUGAAUAACCAUGCAAAUGUGCUUGGUAACCUUAUUGUCUUUAUCAUUAACUAUUGAUGUGCCGGUAAACCACACACGCUCCAU